GAUGAACGCUGGCGGCGUGCCUAAUACAUGCAAGUCGAGCGAACAGAUGAGGAGCUUGCUCCUCUGACGUUAGCGGCGGACGGGUGAGUAACACGUGGAUAACCUACCUAUAAGACUGGGAUAACUUCGGGAAACCGGCGCUAAUACCGGAUAAUAUAUUGAACCGCAUGGUUCAAUAGUGAAAGACGGUUUUGCUGUCACUUAUAGCUGGAUCCGCGCCGCAUUAGCUAGUUGGUAAGGUAACGGCUUACCAAGGCAACGAUGCGUAGCCGACCUGAGAGGGUGAUCGGCCACACUGGAACGGAGACACGGGCCAGACUCCUACGGGAGGCAGCAGUAGGGAAUCUUCCGCAAUGGGCGAAAGCCUGACGGAGCAACGCCGCGUGAGUGAUGAAGGUCUUCGGAUCGUAAAACUCUGUUAUUAGGGAAGAACAAAUGUGUAAGUAACUAUGCACGUCUUGACGGUACCUAAUCAGAAAGCCACGGCUAACUACGUG
rnacentral:rRNA from 1 species